UAAAGGCAGACGUUACUAAGUGUUUGUGAUGUCCUCGUAAUUCAGAUCUGUUGAUUAACAACACUUGGCCCGAAUUUACACAAUGUUUUCAAUGGACUAUUUUACAAUGGACACCAUGCUUGUGGAUAUGGAUAACAUUUCCUGUACAUUUAUGGUACAUUCGACAUCGUCAUCCUGUCGAAUUAUACACAGCUCCAAGCAGCAAACUUUACAUUACAAAAAUGUACUAAACACAUAUGAGUGCAACUUCAUGCUCAUUCCCCGCAUUCAGAUUGCACUUU
rnacentral:sRNA from 1 species